GUCUCGUGACACAGGCAAAUCUUCAAUUCUGGACAGUCUGUCUUCUAGUGAGUUAAUCGAUAGUGAUGAUAUGACUAGCUCCAAAACAGAAACUGCUGUCAGAAAUUUGUCGUCCUUUGACUCGAAUGAACUAGUAAUUCAGGCUUUAAACAGUGAUAAAGUCUUAAGCAAUGCAUAUGGGUCACAAGAUUCUCCGUCACUGCCUUCUGUUACUGGAACAAACUUUUGGACAAAUGGUGGACUACUGGGGCUUCAACCAUCAAAACCCCCUGACUUCAGUACGCCAGGUCCUAUGAAUCAUGACUCCAUGGGUCCAAGCCGAGGUAAAACUUUUGAGGGCAAUAAACUUGCACCAGAAACCGAUAUCUCUGAGGGUUUUAAAGUGCCUAAACAGAAAAGUAGCUCUAAACACUGCAUAUCGCUCUAUAAUGAUCAGGAAGAUAGUACCUCUGUCAUGAAAACAUCUUUGAGUUCUUCACAAACUCAUUCAGAAAGUAAAAAUCAACAUACUGCCAUUUGUCAGCAUAAUGAUAGUCAGUUCCAGAAUCUACUUUUCUCUGAAGCCAGUAUUAUGAUACCUGGAACUAAAAAACCGGAUAAUCUGAAUUUUGAAGCUGCUAAAUCUCUUGGAUAUAUUGACAAGAAUUCAUCUCGGAUUUUUGAAUUAAGCAAUGAAGUACUUGAUAACAGUCAAGGUAAAGUAUGUUUUUCUCUUGAGGACAAUCCUCUCAACUCUUUCACAAGUGGUAUAUCUGAAAGAAAUAGUGUGCAUCAAACAUUUCAAACCUUCUCUGAUAGGAUCUUCACAGAGCAGUUUGGAACUAAAUUUUCAUUCAUAUCACCGUCAUCUUCUCCACCGCUUGAACAUAUGAAGAUAUCUUUUCAGCCUAUAGAUGGAUUUGAGGUAUCAAAGCUGAAACUGGAUUUCCCUGGUGGAAAUGAGUCUCUAGAAGGUGGUAGAGAUGUCUUUCCUUCUUUUCAACUAGUCCCAGAAGUGUCUCUUUCAUUGCUGGACAUUAAUUCAGACUCUGAUGACACUUUUUGUGAUUCAAAUUCUCACGGGUCAGAUGAUUCUAUCACUCAUUACUCAGUGUCAUAUUUUGAAGAAUGGGGAACAAUAGAAUAUCCUAAAUGCGAUGAUAGUGAUAUGUCUGAUGCUUUAUGCAUAAACUCAAUAGAAUCAGUUUCAAGUAACUUGGAUUUUGGGAGAAUUGCUCCGGGAGUAAUCACCAGCAAUAGUGGACUUCCAAAUCUAUUUUAUGAGAAAGUUAUGGAACAUUCAGAAACAGAUCUUCCAAGUUUUGAUACUUUAGAUGAUUCAAUCAAUGAGGAAUUACAGAAUGAUUCUAAAGCAAAGAUUGAACUGGAUUCAGGACCACUUAAGGAUUCCACACUGUCACCUACUCUCCCUCCAACAGAGUGCGGUAUGAACGAAAAUCCAGAUAUGGCAACUGAGAACCAAGUUCCUUCUGUUAAAGCCCUAAAACAUGAAUUUGAUCAGAAGCUUCAAUUUUCCACAAUCUCCCACCAACAGAAAGUAGAACCAUUUAAUCAUGGAAAUAUGGAGACAAUUGGAUGUACGAAAAAUAAAAAGGUACUUACCUAAUUGUCAAUUUUCAUGCAACUAUAUCAUGUCUUGUGUUUCGGCUGUAACAUACUAAUAUAUGACGUACAAAGUUGUGCAUGUUGGAGAAACUACCAUAAACUACUCAUGGUUAUGUAUAUGAUAUAUGCAGCAUCCAGAUGGCCAGAAGCUCAAUUUACAGANUUCAUUCUCCGUCUCAGACCGUCUCGACAUAUGAUGCUGCAAAACAAUUUGAAAUAGAAACUCAUUUAAUCCCUUCAUAUUCAAGAAAUGCAGAACCUGAAGAGUAUGUUUUUAAUCCAAGUAACACUUCAAAGUUUGACGGAUGUGAACCUGAGGAAAUCUCUUCUCGGUGGAUGAUGAAUCAUAGUGAUAACUUUGACACAUUUUCUCUUGAUGAGCAAACCAGAGUUGUAGCUAAUGAUGUUCAGGAACAAACUGGUGCAGCAUCAUCUUGUAUUACUUGGGAUGAAAAGAUAGAAAUAGUGGAACCUACAGGACCACAAUAUCAUUUUAAUGAAAAUGUGUAUGGUCACCCUACGAAUUCUGACCCAAUUCUUUUAGAGGGGGAUGCUUCUAAUUUUGAAACUGAAUGCUGCAGUAACAAAAGCCCACCAAAAUCAGUCUGUGCUGCACAUCAAUUUGAUGAGUAUGAGAGUGACAUAGACAUUUACAUGGAUUCACGUAAUACCAUGGAGUCAGAAUCUGAAACUGAUUUAGAAUGUCAAACGAAGCGAGAAGUGGAGCAGUAUUCAGAUAUGAACACCAUAGCAAUCGAUGAAAAUCUAAAUAGGAUUAACCCUGAGUACAUGGAAAGCAAUUCUGCAAAUGCUCCUACUCAUGUUCCACCUCGUAUCUCCACAGAUGGUGAUAUUUCAGACAACCACCACCACUCAUUUGUCCUUGAAUCUAGCUCUGUCCUAAGCAAAGAAAUAUCCACUGCUAAGCCCAUUUCCGUAACCCCAGUAUGUAAUGCACAGGUACAGUCUCGUGACACAGGCAAAUCUUCAAUUCUGGACAGUCUGUCUUCUAGUGAGUUAAUCGAUAGUGAUGAUAUGACUAGCUCCAAAACAGAAACUGCUGUCAGAAAUUUGUCGUCCUUUGACUCGAAUGAACUAGUAAUUCAGGCUUUAAACAGUGAUAAAGUCUUAAGCAAUGCAUAUGGGUCACAAGAUUCUCCGUCACUGCCUUCUGUUACUGGAACAAACUUUUGGACAAAUGGUGGACUACUGGGGCUUCAACCAUCAAAACCCCCUGACUUCAGUACGCCAGGUCCUAUGAAUCAUGACUCCAUGGGUCCAAGCCGAGGUAAAACUUUUGAGGGCAAUAAACUUGCACCAGAAACCGAUAUCUCUGAGGGUUUUAAAGUGCCUAAACAGAAAAGUAGCUCUAAACACUGCAUAUCGCUCUAUAAUGAUCAGGAAGAUAGUAC
rnacentral:lncRNA from 1 species